GAACGGGUGAGUAAUGUAUCGGAACGUACCUUUCAGUGGGGGAUAACGUAGCGAAAGUUACGCUAAUACCGCAUAUUCUGUGAGCAGGAAAGCAGGGGAUCGCAAGACCUUGCGCUGAUUGAGCGGCCGAUAUCAGAUUAGCUAGUUGGUGAGGUAAAGGCUCACCAAGGCGACGGUCUGUAGCGGGUCUGAGAGGAUGAUCCGCCACACUGGAACUGAGACACGGUCCAGACUCCUACGGGAGGCAGCAGUGGGGAAUUCUGGACAAUGGGGGCAACCCUGAUCCAGCCAUGCCGCGUGAGUGAAGAAGGCCUUCGGGUUGUAAAGCUCUUUCGGCCGGGAAGAAAUCGCAUAGGUUAAUACCCUGUGUGGAUGACGGUACCGGAAUAAGGAGCACCGGCUAACUACGCGCCAGCAGCCGCGGUAAUACGUAGGGUGCGAGCGUUAAUCGGAAUUACUGGGCGUAAAGCGUGCGCAGGCGGUUUCGUAAGACAGAGGUGAAAUCCCCGGGCUCAACCUGGGAACUGCCUUUGUGACUGCGAAGCUAGAGUACGGCAGAGGGGGGUGGAAUUCCACGUGUAGCAGUGAAAUGCGUAGAGAUGUGGAGGAACACCAAUGGCGAAGGCAGCCCCCUGGGUCGAUACUGACGCUCAUGCACGAAAGCGUGGGUAGCAAACAGGAUUAGAUACCCUGGUAGUCCACGCCCUAAACGAUGUCAACUAGGUGUUGGGUGGGUAAAACCAUUUAGUACCGGAGCUAACGCGUGAAGUUGACCGCCUGGGGAGUACG
rnacentral:rRNA from 1 species